AAUAGCCUAACGGCUGAACCAGCAACUUGGAAGAAUGUAUAGCGAAAGCUAGUUGUAUUAAUUAUUAGUUGGUACAGCAUCGACUACGUCGACUAAAGUUCUAGGUAGAGUUAUGAUGAUGACAUUCUCUACCUAUGUGUCUUGACCAAAUCACGUGCCAGCAGUCGCGGCAAGACGUGGAAGACUAGUGUUAUUCAUCUUUAAAAGGUUUAAAGGGUACUUAGACGGUAUAGUAAGCCACUAAAUGGUACUAAUAUGCUAGAGUUUUAUGGGAGAGAGCAAUGGAGAACUGACGAGUGUAGAGAUGAAAUUCUUUGAUACCGUUAUAGGAACAGGCAAAGGCGAAAGCGACUCUUUAUGUUGAAACUGACGUUGAAGGACGAAGGCUUAGUACCCCAAACAGGAUUAGAUACCCUAGUAGGCUGAGCAGAAAAUGAUGAAUGUCAUAGAUUAAACAAAAAUAUAAAAAAAGAAAAUAAAAAUAAGAAGAGAUUAGUCACUCAUACCCUUAUCUUUAUUUUAUUUUUUAAAUUUUUGUGGUUUAUAAAUGAAAGUGUAAACAUUCCACCUUGAGAGUAAUGUGGCAACGCAGAAACCGAAAUCAUUAGACCGUUUCUGAAACCAGUAGUGAAGUAUGUUGUUUAAUUUGAUAUUACGCAAAAAACCUUACCACAAUUUGAAUAUAUUAUUAUUAUAAUACGGGCGUUGCACGGCUGUCUUCAGUUAAUGUCGUGAGAUUUUGGUUAAUUCCUUUAAAUUAACGUAAACCCUUACUUUAUUUUUUAUUAUAAAGUAGUUCGCCGCUAUAUU
rnacentral:rRNA from 1 species